CUAAUACAUGCAGUCGAGCGCGGGAAGCAGAAAGAUUCCUUCGGGAUGACAUCUGUGGAACGAGCGGCGGAUGGGUGAGUAACACGUGGGCAACCUGCCUGUAAGACUGGGAUAACUCCGGGAAACCGGGGCUAAUACCGGAUAGAGUUUUCUCUCGCAUGAGAGGAAACGGAAAGGCGGCUUCGGCUGUCACUUACAGAUGGGCCCGCGGCGCAUUAGCUAGUUGGUGGGGUAACGGCUCACCAAGGCGACGAUGCGUAGCCGACCUGAGAGGGUGAUCGGCCACACUGGGACUGAGACACGGCCCAGACUCCUACGGGAGGCAGCAGUAGGGAAUCUUCCGCAAUGGACGAAAGUCUGACGGAGCAACGCCGCGUGAACGAAGAAGGUUUUCGGAUCGUAAAGUUCUGUUGUUAGGGAAGAACAAGUACCGUUUGAAUAAGGCGGUACCUUGACGGUACCUAUCGAGAAAGCCCCGGCUAACUACGUGCCAGCAGCCGCGGUAAUACGUAGGGGGCAAGCGUUGUCCGGAUUUAUUGGGCGUAAAGCGCGCGUAGGCGGUUUCUUAAGUCUGAUGUGAAAUCUUGCGGCUCAACCGCAAGCGGUCAUUGGAAACUGGGGAACUUGAGUGCAGAAGAGGAGAGUGGAAUUCCACGUGUAGCGGUGAAAUGCGUAGAGAUGUGGAGGAACACCAGUGGCGAAGGCGG
rnacentral:rRNA from 1 species